UUUUAGAGAGUUUGAUCCUGGCUCAGGAUGAACGCUGGCGGCGUGCCUAACACAUGCAAGUCGAACGAAGCACUCUAUUUGAUUUUCUUCGGAAAUGAAGAUUUUGUGACUGAGUGGCGGACGGGUGAGUAACGCGUGGGUAACCUGCCUCAUACAGGGGGAUAACAGUUGGA
rnacentral:rRNA from 1 species